UUUGGUACGUUAUUGUAUUUUUGGAACCUCAAAUAUCCUCUCUUGAGUCAUAAGUCAUGAAGUUCAUUACAACGAGUUCUUAAUCAUUGCUUCACAUUUCAUCAAAAUAUACGAUUUUUCGUCAUUUUCCACUCUUACAACAGUACUCUCAGGCUAAUGUGUCAUGCGUGCUGAGGCAUGUGCUGCGCUUUCUUUUGUUUUACUGGGCUAGUUCUACACAGGCAUAAGAACACCUGUAGUUAAGUGCGACAUGGAAGCUUUAUUGGCUGAUUCUACAGAUGACUCAUACUGAUCAAGAUGCUAAAAUUGAUUACUGACAAGUCCCUAAAUGAUGUUCAACCUCAGAUUCAAGUGGAGUAAGAGGGGUAAGCCUCUAGGGGAGCAUUCAGGGACUUGGCAAGUUUAGUAGAUUAAAGAGUUAUAGUGGGGGAAAUCAAAGGUUUUGUCCAUCAGGAUUGUCCGUGGACUAGUCUCAACUAAAUUUUUGGCAGAAGUGUUUAGGCAUGAGCAGCGGGAGUAUAUUAUUCUAUGAAGGCACCCCAGCAUGAAGGAAUUCGAAAUACUCUAAUAAUGUUUAAUGGUUUCUUGAACAUUUUCACUUCGUGGACUUGGAUACUGUUGAAGCCCGAUAGAUCUUGGAAAAUACUUAGCUACUAGUGUAGAUUCCUUGCUAGAUGACAUUGUACUAAGUUUCCAAUUGAACAUUAUUCUGGUAGUUGAAUACUGACCCCUUCAAAGAGUAUUAUGUGAUAGGUUCAAAUAGUUUACCUUCUUUUCAGUGAGUUGGUCCUAUUGGGAACUCAACAUCCUGAUUCAAUUAUUACACAUUUCUUUCUAUUGUUUAAAAAGUCUUUGUGAACUUGCAUAUGCAGAAAAGAGCCUGCUAUUAUCAUCUUCUGUUUCUUCUGUUA